rnacentral:rRNA from 1 species
GUAGGGAAUAUUGGACAAUGGGGGGAACCCUGAUCCAGCCAUGCCGCGUGGAGGAAGACUGCCCUCUGGGUUGUAAACUCCUUUUAUAUGGGAAGAACCGUCCUCAUUAAUGAGUGACCUGACGGUACCAUAGGAAUAAGCACCGGCUAACUCCGUGCCAGCAGCCGCGGUAAUACGGAGGGUGCAAGCGUUAUCCGGAUUCACUGGGUUUAAAGGGUGCGUAGGCGGAUAAAUAAGUCAGUGGUGAAAUCAACGGGCUCAACCUGUUAACUGCCAUUGAUACUGUGUAUCUUGAAUAUGAGAGAGGUAGGCGGAAUGUUGCAUGUAGCGGUGAAAUGCUUAGAUAUGCUACGGAACACCGAUUGCGAAGGCAGCUUACUAUUUCGUAAUUGACGCUGAGGCACGAAAGCGUGGGUAGCGAACAGGAUUAGAAACCCUAGUAGUCC